CAGGGAAUAUUGCGCAAUGGACGGAAGUCCGACGCAGCGACGCCGCGUGGGUGAAGAAGGCCUUCGGGUUGUAAGCCCUUUUCUGGGGGAAGAGCAAGGACGGUACCCCAGGAAUAAGUGUCGGCUAACUACGUGCCAGCAGCCGCGGUAAUACGUAGGACACGAGCGUUAUCCGGAUUUACUGGGCGUAAAGCGCCUGUAGGUGGACAAACAAGUCGGCUGUGAAAGCCUCGGGCUUAACCCGGGGAGGCCAGGCGAUACUGUUUGACUUGAGGGUGACAGAGGGGAGUGGAAUUCCCGGUGUAGCGGUAAAAUGCGCAGAUAUCGGGAGGAACACCAGUGGCGAAGGCGGCUCCCUGGGUCAUACCUGACACUGAGAGGCUAAAGCUAGGGGAGCAAACAG
rnacentral:rRNA from 1 species